rnacentral:rRNA from 1 species
UACGUAGGGGGCAAGCGUUGUCCGGAUUUAUUGGGCGUAAAGAGCUCGUAGGCGGUUUGGUAAGUCUGGUGUGAAAUCUCCACGCUCAACGUGGAGGGGCCACCCGAUACUGCCAUGACUGGAGUCCGGUAGAGGAGUGUGGAAUUCCCGGUGUAGCGGUGAAAUGCGUAGAUAUCAGGAGGAACACCGGUGGCGAAAGCGGCUCACUGGCCGGAAACUGACACUGAGGUGCGAAAGCUAGGGUAGCAAACGGG